rnacentral:rRNA from 1 species
CCUACGGGAGGCAGCAGUGAGGAAUAUUGGGCAAUGGGGGCAACCCUGACCCAGCCAUGCCGCGUGAGUGAAGAAGGUCUUCGGAUUGUAAAGCUCUAUCAGCAGGGAAGAAAAUGACGGUACCUGAGUAAGAAGCCCCGGCUAACUACGUGCCAGCAGCCGCGGUAAUACGUAGGGGGCAAGCGUUAUCCGGAUUUACUGUGUGUAAAGGGAGCGUAGACGGCAGUGCAAGUCUGGAGUGAAAGGCGGGGGCUCAACCCCCGGACUGCUCUGGAAACUGUACGGCUGGAGUGCAGGAGAGGUAAGUGGAAUUCCUAGUGUAGCGGUGAAAGGCGUAGAGAUUAGGAGGAACACCAGUGGCGAAGGCGGCUUACUGGACUGUAACUGACGUUGAGGCUCGAAAGCGUGGGGAGCAAACAGGAUUAGAUACCCGUGUAGUC